AUACGGAGGGGGUUAGCGUUGUUCGGAAUUACUGGGCGUAAAGCGCACGUAGGCGGAUUGAUUAGUUAGAGGUGAAAUCCCAGGGCUCAACCCUGGAACUGCCUUUAAUACUGUCAGUCUAGAGAUCGAGAGAGGGGAGUGGAAUUCCUAGUGUAGAGGUGAAAUUCGUAGAUAUUAGGAGGAACACCAGUGGCGAAGGCGGCUCACUGGCUCGAUACUGACGCUGAGGUGCGAAAGCGUGGGGAGCAAACAGGAUUAGAAACCCUGGUAGUCC
rnacentral:rRNA from 1 species